CCUCCGGGUUCCUGGUCCCCAGCCUGUGGGGGGCUUGGGCUGUAGCGCUGGGGCGGGGGCUUUAGAUCACCCCGAAAACAGGACCUCUGGCGACCUUCUCGUUUUCCACCGGGAGCGGAGAGAGCCGAUCUCCUUUUCCUGCUAGCCCCGUAGGACAGUCCCCGGAGCAGCUCAUAGGAAUAUGACGAACGUUUACUCAGGGCUGGUUACUAUGUACACUGCGCCCCGCGCGCGGCGAGUUUACCUCGGUUCACCUCCCGGCAACCGGCGGCCCGGAUAUUAUCAGAUGCUGUGGGCUUCCCGGCGCCUCAUUGCCCGAGGAGAGGCGGCCGCAGUUGAAUUCACCAAAUAGAAGACAUUGGAAAUGAGACCCGAGGGUUGGAGGAGGAGGAAGCCUGCAAUGUGAACACGAUGGCUGGAGCUCCGGCAGCCAUUCUGGACCAGGAGGUAGCCUUGAAGAUGGAAGCCACAUGUUGGGAUGGUGAAUCCAAAAGAUGAGGAGCCUGUAUCCCCUGUGACACCAGAACUGCCAUACCAGCCCUGGGUUCCUCCAUCUAUACUGCCUUCAUAUGGUAAAGAAAUAUUCUUGGAUCUUGUUAGGUGUCUGUUGCAGCCAAACACAAUCCCAACUGAUAUUCACUGUAAAUGAUUCCAUGGCUCCCUGUAGUACUUCUACAAAGCAUCUAUCACAAUUGUAAUUAAUAAAAUAAUUAUGCAAUUACUGGUUUAAUGCCUAAGUCCCAAGUAGAAUAUCAGUUCCAUGGGGGCAGGGAUUAGUCUGUUCAUGGAUGUAUUCCCAGCUCCUGUAACAACAUCUGGUUCUGGUAGGUGGUAAGUGCACAAUAAAUGUAGCAGAGUGAAAGGUUGAGAGGAAACGGAGCUGCUUCUGAUGAGGAGAGAAAUCACUGCAUAUCGAUCGAUCUCUAUCUCAGACUCAUUAAUAUGCAUCUGGGUGUGCUGGAUAUUUUAAUUCAUGUUCUACCACACUCUAGAUCUCCUAUGGGAUUUGCAUCACAGAUGGUACCUUUUCCUGAAGAGCCUUAAAUUAACCUGCCUCCCUG
rnacentral:lncRNA from 10 species